UUGAAAAAAAAUUGUGAUCGUAAAAAUUUUCGGGAUGAAGAAAUUGUGUAUGUAACGAAAUUUGAAUUUGGGUUGUGUCGAGGAAAUUAUGUAUUGUAAUAAAAAUUAAAUUAAUUAAUUGAUAAGGUAAGAAGAAGGCUUAUCUUCGCAUAUCUCGUGAUGCCAAAUUAUUAUGAUAGAGGACAUUUCCUAUCGGUAUUUAUCAGAUUUUAAUUAAUAAUUUCUCUCUCUUCACACCUUUUUUUGUAAAGCUUAUAAUUUUUACGUCAUCCUAAUUAACAAAAGAACAGUUUGCCAUGUUGUGUAGUUUUUGCGAUAAAGAGAUAAUUCACGCGGAGUACUUGGUAACUUUAUAAAGACUUCGUGAAUUGCUUCAAAGAAAAGCCAUUUGAUUUAAAUUCCUCUAAUUAAUUAAGUUUUUUUUCUCAUAUUAAAAAAACAGAAUGGAUAAUAUCGAACGUAAAUUAAGACGAGCUUGUAAUAAGAGGAAGAAGAAAUAUCUUUUUAAUUGUGAAUGAAUGAUAUGAUGAUAUCUAUUUUUAAUAAUAGAAUUAUUUAUAUCGUGAUUAAAAUCUUAAUUAAAAUUAAUUUUUUUGUGGAAAGGAAUUUACGCGGAUAUUUGUAAAAUACAAAAUUGGUAAACAAAAUUCGAACCAAUUUUUUGGGAAUAGUUUGCAAAAAAUCUUUAUACUAAUAGUAAAAAAAUUAGUAAACUUUGAAUCGUACCAAUUUUUUGCAUAAAAGUUUGCAAAAAUUUAGAAUCUUUUUAACACAGUAAAAAAUGGUAAUUUUUCAAGACAAAAAAUUCGUACCAAUUUUUUUUUUGCACAAAAAUCUGCAAAAUUCAACAUUACAAAUCCCUAAAAUUUACAUAGUUUGCAAAAAUCCGAGUGAGCUAGUUUAAGCUAAAAACAGAUCUGAGGGUCCCUUUCUCGUCUGAAUUUCCGUUGUUUUUUUUACAAAAAAAGUCGACUGAUCAUAAAUAAAAGUAAUUUCCACUGAUAAAAAAUGUGCCCAACUUUUUCGAAAAAUAUUCAAAUUAUUAAUAAUUUGAACAAGUUUGAAUGAUGACAAUGUUGUGGCUUAAUUGGAUAUCAUUCUGAUAAUAAUGGCGGAAAAAAACUUGAGUUUUUUGAAAACACAAAUAAAUUUCUACAAAUAAAACAUAAAGCUUUUCCGCUUAAUGAAAGUGUACGUAAAUAAUUAGUAAAUUUUUUGUAAAUUAAUUUAAAAAAUACGCAAUUAGUUAAUUAAUUACAAAGAAAAAAUAAGUCAUAAUUAUUCUUGUUGUAUAGAAGACGAGACGACAACUAAAUAAUUAAUUAAAAUUAGGUUUAAUUAUAAUUAAGUAAUUAAUCAUAAUUAAAAAAAUAUUUACAUACAUAAAUACACGGCCGCACGCAUAUUUACAAAUUAAAUGAAAUGAAAAAUGAACAUAUGAAUGCCUCGCCUGUUUUAAAAAUAUUGAAAAAAGUCAAAUCUAAAAAAUUUGCGGGUAGGAAUUUUGUAGCGAUUUGUAAUUAAGAAAAAUGAAAUGUCGUCACCAUUAUUUUUUGAUGAUGAUAAAUAAAUAAAUUCCUCGUAAAGAAAGAAUCAAUUGGAAAAUGGCGAGGAUUGUUUGUAAUUAAUUAAUUAAAUUGAGAUAUGAAAAAAAUGGACCCUAUUUUACGAGGGGAUGGAAUUGAAAGGAGGAGAAGCAGAUGAAGAAGUGUAAUUAAUUAAAAUGUAAAUUAAGUUAAGAAUCUGAUGAUGAUUAAUGACGGGAAAUAUUUAUACUACGUACGUACAAGAUGAAAAUGGAAGAGGAGAGAAUUUUUGAGAAGUAAUAAAAAUCGUGAUAAAAAAAUGAAA